CUCAGGACGAACGCUGGCGGCGUGCGUAAUACAUGCAAGUCGAACGCUUCUUUCCUCCCGAGUGCUUGCACUCAAUUGGAAAGAGGAGUGGCGGACGGGUGAGUAACACGUGGGUAACCUACCCAUCAGAGGGGGAUAACACUUGGAAACAGGUGCUAAUACCGCAUAACAGUUUAUGCCGCAUGGCAUAAGAGUGAAAGGCGCUUUCGGGUGUCGCUGAUGGAUGGACCCGCGGUGCAUUAGCUAGUUGGUGAGGUAACGGCUCACCAAGGCCACGAUGCAUAGCCGACCUGAGAGGGUGAUCGGCCACACUGGGACUGAGACACGGCCCAGACUCCUACGGGAGGCAGCAGUAGGGAAUCUUCGGCAAUGGACGAAAGUCUGACCGAGCAACGCCGCGUGAGUGAAGAAGGUUUUCGGAUCGUAAAACUCUGUUGUUAGAGAAGAACAAGGACGUUAGUAACUGAACGUCCCCUGACGGUAUCUAACCAGAAAGCCACGGCUAACUACGUGCCAGCAGCCGCGGUAAUACGUAGGUGGCAAGCGUUGUCCGGAUUUAUUGGGCGUAAAGCGAGCGCAGGCGGUUUCUUAAGUCUGAUGUGAAAGCCCCCGGCUCAACCGGGGAGGGUCAUUGGAAACUGGGAGACUUGAGUGCAGAAGAGGAGAGUGGAAUUCCAUGUGUAGCGGUGAAAUGCGUAGAUAUAUGGAGGAACACCAGUGGCGAAGGCGGCUCUCUGGUCUGUAACUGACGCUGAGGCUCGAAAGCGUGGGGAGCAAACAGGAUUAG
rnacentral:rRNA from 1 species